GCAUGAAGCUGGAAUUGCUAGUAAUCGCGGAUCAGCAAGCCGCGGUGAAUACGUUCCCGGGCCUUGUACACACCGCCCGUCACACCAUGAGAGUCGGGAACACCCGAAGUCCGUAGUCUAACCGCAAGGGGGGCGCGGCCGAAGGUGGGUCCGGUAAUUGGGGUGAAGUCGUAACAAGGUAGC
rnacentral:rRNA from 1 species